ACUGGCAGGAGGGGAGGAGGCAGAGGAGGAGGGAGCAAGCUGGAGGGGGAGGAGGGCCGCGCGCGCGCGCCGGGUGGGGAGCCGGUUCGCCACUGUCUCCGCUCCCUCCCUCCGCAGCUUGACCCGGUAGUGAAGGCUGAGAGAGAGGCAGGCUGGGUCCGCCUGGCAGCCUACGAGAAGAGGCGGGAGCGGGAAAGGAGGGGAGCCGAGGCCCGGCGUGGGGAGGCCGGCAGGAAGAACUUCGAGCCCUGUGCGGACCUUUUUUCAGCCUCCGAGCGGCCGCGCGGCGCGCUAGCCUCCUGCGCUGUGAGGACGCCCGGACUUCCUCAGGACUAGGGCUCGGCGGGAGCAGAAAGAGCGAGAGCGGGACUUGGCGGCGCGCCCCCGUCUCGGGGGCUUCGGCGGGAGCGCUGCGAGUCCCCAGGCGCGGGACCCUGCCGCGGGAAAGCCGAGCUGGUGGGACCCCGUGGGGUCCUCCACUGCGGGGGAGGCCUGGGCGCGAGGCGCCGGGUGGAGGCGGAGUUGUUCUCUGUUGAGAGAGGUUUGUCGCCUCACCUUUUCAGUCAAACUCGUCGCAGAGUUCUUAGAAUUCCCCUCUCGGAGGAGCGGAAAGUUAGGGAAGUGCAGGCUGGUUACCCAGACAGCGAGGAGGCAGAGCAUCACUUUGCGGGGUGCGGGCCCAGCCCGCGCGUCGGGCGGGGAUGGGAACUUGGCGGCGGGGCGGAGUAGUCUGCUGAAAGGGGAUUCCAGGGACGCAGGGGAAGGGGCUUCACUUUUCCAGGUUAAGAGACGCGGAGCGGAAGGGGCCGUAGCGUGGGGCCUGCUGUGGGAAAUGGGCUGUUUUCCCCCAGCAACUGCGGCGGAGACGGCUGGGACACGUCCUCGCCCGGGAAAGCGUCAGACUCGGGCUUGUACCUUAGGAAGAAACCUUGACAUGCCCUGGUGUGACCACUUCGUGCUCCAGAGAAGGAAAAGAAGGCUCUCGGAGCGAGCUUGAACACAGCGGCAGAACCCGGGCUGGAACUCAGCUCGCAGGCCCAGCACCACCAGGCUCCUUUCCCUUCACCAAGUUUGCAGCCAGGAGUAGAGGGUUAAAAGUCCUAAUUUGAUGGGACUGUGAUGAGGAUGAAUCAGAUGUUCCAGGAGGAUUUUCUAUGUUUAUCUGCUGGUUUCUGCUGACUCCAUGGGUAUCUAAGCUUAAGUACAGUGACUGGAUAUACAAGCCCAAGUCCUGGGGAGAGAAUUUGGGCUACAAAGUUGGAUGUGGGGACACUCUGAAACCUUGCCUCUUCAGCCUUACCCCUGCACUGUGCUAAAGGUGAGAAGAGAAAAACACUGAACUCCAUUUUACAAAAUCUGUUAGUAGGCAGAGAACAUAGGAAAGAUCAAUGAAAAAAAAAGACUGUAUUGCAAGGAGAGGAUUGAAUGUUGAGAAAUCAAGCUUCUUGGAGUUAGUGAGGGGUAAGUUUAGGGGCUGAGAUGGCUCCAUACACUUGCACAGAAUUGCAUAUUUCAUUUGGUAUCUUAUCAAAUCACAUUAUAGUGCUAAUUCUCUUUAACUCAAAUAUUUUGAUGACUAUAACUUUUAGAUUUAUAUUAAUUGAAUUUACAUGGGAGGGCCAGAACUGUUUCAUUUUAGUCUAAAGUUAAUGUUCAUGAUUAUGCUUCUGCAUUUGGUAGAACCAUCUUAUUAUGUUUUAGUAUUGGUUAUAAUAUUGGGAUGGAAUAUAUGGUCCAAAGUCUCCACAACUUGAACUUCCUCUUAAAUGGCACUGUCAAUCAGUCACUCAGCCCUGCGUAAAAGAUCUGGGGACAGGCAAAAUGUGACUAGUUAAGUCUACAAGGGUAUUAGAUCAUUUUAGUCAGCAGAAAGUUCUGAAUGAUGUGCCUUUGGUCCUUUCGCACCUUUUUGUGUGAAUUUCCUGGACCAUACAGGAUACACCAAGGCAGGAAAGAGAACUGCAAAAAUAUUUAAAUAACUUCUUCACUUUAACUACAGUGUUCACAAUGUGUGGAGCAAUUUGACCAGCUCAAUAAAAGAAAGCAUGAAAAUAUUUUUUGUUGUUGUCCUGUGACUUUAAAGUCAUUGCAAUAUUUUUUGUAAAGGAUAAUGUCUACAUUAGUAAGAACUCUUCAUACUUUUUCUACCUAUUCAACCUAUGCACAGAACACAAUAGGCUAAUACUGUAUUUGAAUCUGGAAUGUAUACUUUUUAUGCAGUGCUAUGCAGGUAUACUUAAAUUCAUCAAUAUCUGAAUUUAUCUUUAGUUUUUACUAUUUUGCUUCUUACUUACUCUGUACGUGUCAGUCUUUUAUCAUCAGCUCACAUUCUACUAAACUCAAAAAGUUAUUUUCAUACCUAUUAUACUUUUAGGCCCUUCAUACCAGAUUUUUUUAAACACCUCAGAAAUUCAGGUACUUCAGUUUCAUGCCAUCAAGUAGCAAUGUGUGCCCCCCCUUUUUCUUAUUUGAGUGAGUAGUUCAAUUGCUGUCACUCUCUACUUUGUGAUUCUAAAUCUUUUAAAACCAUCUUGCCAUUUUUUUCACGCAUUCAUCCUUAUAGAAAACUCUAUAAAACACUCUUAUUUUUCUAAGUGCUUUUUUUCCAUAUUAUUAUUCCUGCUCUUUACGAAAUGGACAUCUCAAUUUAUUCUUUUUUUUCUCUAUAGGUCUCUGUAGAUAUGUCUUCAGUUUCCCAUCAAUUCCCAUCAUAAAUUUUUUAAAAUAAACUUAAAAUAUCCUACAUGCAUUUUUAAUAUGACGUCUACUGUCCAAGUUCUAAUCUUUCCUAUUUUUUAUCAUUUUUGCUGUUAAUUUAAAAUAAUAACAGUUUCCAUUGCAAAGAAUAAGCACAAAGGCAUAUUAUUAUUAUGAACUCAGUUUUGUCAGUAGUGAACAAUCUCUAGGUCUAAAGAAAAUGAUGGAAAUAAAGUCAACAUAUUGUAUUUUGAAAUAGUUAGGAAUAAUCAGAUGUGUUUUCUAGUCUUUGGAAAAACAUAUUUCAGAAAAUUCAAAGAAAACUUAAUGUUUCCUCAGCCAGACUGCUGAGAAGAAAAAAUGCUGAUGAACAAUUGGAGGCAAUGAGAAUGUAAUUCUAAUCAUGCUAAUUCUAACAAUUUUGAAGCCUCUCCAAACACUGCUCUGUGUGGCAUAGUUUGCAUUUAACCAUUUUGAAUGUCAUGUAUGUUUUUCAGAAUAUGAUGAAUACUAGUGAUCUUAUCCCGUCCUUUUGCCCUACCACAGGUGCUUAUAUACAUAUAUCUUCCAAAUAUUAUAUAUCAUUUCAUGUAACUUAUAGAUUCACUGAAGCCCAAUCUUUUGCUUGGAUAUGGAAUUCUUUGAAAGUGCAGCCUAAAUAAAUCUCUUCUGUAGUUUUUUAUUUAUAUUUAAUCAGCUGAAAGUAAUCUUAUCUACUGAAUUCCUAUGAAAUGCAACCUGAUCCUUUUCAUGACAUUUCUUUCUGCCUUCUAUUAUAACAUUAGAUUUAUCUCAGCUUCACUUCUAAGCCAUAACUUCUUUGAGAGCAUAGCUUAUGUUUGUAUCCCUGACAGAGGUUCAGUGAAUAAAGGAGAAUACAGUACUAGGAGAAAAAAAAAAAAAAAACCACAUCACUACAAUGAAUAUAUACUACUUACUAUGAAAAUAUAUCUAUUAAACAAAGAAUCAACUGAUGCUAGUAAAGUAAACCCAAAAUUUAAGUGUAUUUCAAAAGAUCAAGGACAGCAAGAAGUUUAGGAAGCUGUUAUUGUUUUGAGAUAGUUGUCUCCCAUUUUGGCUAUUGAGAAUAUUUUUAAAAGUAAAAGAGGGAAUUUAAAUUUCUUUAAGGGAAAAUUGUAGUUUAAGGUGGGUCAUAGAAUAAUUGGAAAUCAUUUAAUUCUCUUAGACCGUCUUAAUCUUCCAAUUUACCUCAAUGAAAUUGUAGGGCAAUAAAAGAGUUUGGAGGUUUGGCAAGCCAUUUUCUGUAAUCUCGGAAAAAAACGGACAGUAGGGGAGUCAGUAGAAGAUGGUUAAAAAGCAAAGCUAUCCUGUGCUUUGCAAGAAAAGGAUGUACUCCACAAACAAUGGACCACAAAAAUUAGGACAUCAAGAGAAAGAAGUGAUAACAUGAAGCUAGCAUAGCUUCGUAAAGAAGGCAAAUGCACAUUUUUGUUUAUAAAGCAUGAGUUAUUUGUUGUGGAUCCAUGUUAGCUAAAUCAUUAAGCAUUAAUGCCAUCACCUCUUUUCUAAUAUCAGCAAUGAAUACUCAAAGCCCUCGUCUCCAUCAUCAGUGUAAUAUCUACAAGUGAUUUCAGUUUGCAAAUGCUCUACAUUCUCCACAUCUAACUUUACCAGAACUGCACAAAACUGGCCUGUUACUUACCUCUCAUAAAUGCUCUCAAU